AUACGUAGGGGGCGAGCGUUGUCCGGAAUGAUUGGGCGUAAAGGGCGCGUAGGCGGCCUGUUAAGUCUGGAGUGAAAGUCCUGUUUUCAAGAUGGGAAUUGCUUUGGAUACUGAUGGGCUUGAGUGCAGGAGAGGUUAUCGGAAUUCCCGGUGUAGCGGUGAAAUGCGUAGAGAUCGGGAGGAACACCAGUGGCGAAGGCGGGUAACUGGACUGCAACUGACGCUGAGGCGCGAAAGUGUGGGGAGCAAACAGGAUUAGAUACCCUGGCAGUCCACACUGUAAACGAUGAAUGCUAGGUGUAAGAGGUAUCGACCCCUUUUGUGCCGGAGUUAACACAAUAAGCAUUCCGCCUGGGGAGUACGGCCGCAAGGUUGAAACUCAAAUGAAUUGACGGGG
rnacentral:rRNA from 1 species